rnacentral:lncRNA from 1 species
GAGACAGUAGCCCUGGAGAUCAGGAGCGAGGUUCAAGGAGGAGUGAGCCACCUGAUGGUCCACUCCACAGAGCCAGCAGUCUUUAUGUCGGGAUCCACCGGUCUGGAUACGAAGGGUGCCAUGGGACCACAUGCUUUGCAUCUCUCAUUUUCCUGACAGUCGCAGGGGCUGACUGGGCUUCUGCUGAGCCUGCCUUUCUUGGCCCACCCACUUUCAGAGCCACUAGUGGGUGGGCCUUUCCACUGCCCACCAUGUCUGCUAAGAGCUCCAGCUGCCUGUGAAUCUCCACGUGGGAUCUACAGACACCUCAAAUGUAUGCUGAAAAUAGCUUCUCGCUUCCUAAACUUGCACCCCUUCCUCCUCUCAGUGAGAGGCUGGAACCUGUGUCUGCCGGUAGCAGACGUUGAGCCACUCCCCAGUUAAAAACUCUUCCUCUCUCUCUGGGCCCAGUAAGAAACACAUGGGUGUUUCUUCACAGUGGAGUUGGUAUUUUUAAACCUGAACCCAGGUUAGCAGGGAUUGGGAGGAGCAGCAGUGAGACUCCUCAGAUCCCCUGGGGGCUAACUCCGCGGUCUACAGUUUGGCCAAUCCCAGUGGGCAAAGCUCAGGCUGCAGCUCUCAGUUGGUCACCGGAGCUACCGUGACUGACACCCAGCAGCCGUCCCUUGCUCA